UUCUGGAAAGUUGUAGGAGAAUCCCUCUUGGCGGGCUCUCCAGCAUGGAGAAUCGCAGGCCUCUGCUCCGGAAAGGGAGGCUUUUGAGAGGUCAGAUUCACCACAGCCAGACCAAUGAACUGUGAGGGCUCAUAGGGGCUGGGGCUCCGGUUUCAGGGGUGAGAGGAGCCACCAUCUGCCCCCAUGCCCACUCUGAUUGUAAAUGGCUAGACUCUGGUGCCGGGGUCAGCUCUGGAUUCAUAUCCCAGCUCCUGCAUAUGUAUAUGCUGGGUGACCUUGGGCAGUUUACUUAACCUCUCUGUGCUUUGUGUGCCUAAGCUGCAAGAUACUCUAAAUUAAACAGCAAACUUUCAGUGCUGUUGUGGGACGAAAUGGGAUAAUGUGCUUGGUAGCUGGCAGGGGCUCAAUAAAAGGUAGCAACUUCCAGGGCCACCAGUUCAUGGGGAGCCAGGUCCAAGUCUUGUACUUUCUAUGCCUCCCAGGGAGCCACGUAUGUCUGCGACAGAGCUGGGGAGGACAUUCUGGGGCUGAGGGUUGAGGUCUGCCCAUAGAGCAGCGGCCUGUACCUGCAGGCAGGUAGAGUAUCAUCCUGGCUGAGUCUCAGUGCUCCUCAAACAUUAAAGUGUACAUCCUGGUGAGACGCAGAUUUUGAUGCAGCGGGUCAGGUGGGACAGGGGUUCUGCAGCUGUAAGGAACUCCCAGGUCAAGCCAGUGUGGCAGGUCUGUGACCGCAGCUGGUACGGCAAGAUCUCAGCCCUGGAAGACUCUGGGUUCUGCUGAGGCUGGGCUCAGAGAGAGAAUACAAGUUUUGUCCUGUCCAAGGAGCACCCUCCAGGAUUUCAGGACAAGGCUCUGGCUCUGUGUCCCCAAGCCCUCAGUCUCAGAGCUUGGGUCCUGCAGUGGCCUGGGCAACCCUCCGGACUCUCCAUUCAGCAUUUGUUCCUGACAGCAGUGCACGGAUAAAGAGCAGUUUCAUGCUGCUGAACUUGCAAUCACUUCAAGGCCUGGGCCCCUCUGGGCCUCAGUUUCCCCACUGGCACAGUGGGAAGCUGGGAUAAGCUAAUCCCACCCUUUCCCCUUGGUAAUUCCCCACAUUGCUCUUCCCUUCCCUUCAUCCCUUCCCAAAACACAGGUCUGAGGCCUGAGCAUCCAUCCUAGGGGCUGGGCCCCCAUCCCCAUGACUGCAGUCAUGGGGUACAAGACUCAUGCAGACUCGUAAGAACAGCCACUUCUGACCUGGGGCCUCGAUGUUCCAGGCACUGUCCUAGGCAUUUGCAUCUACAAACUUCUCACCAUAAUCCAAUCACCACUGUUUUACAGAUGAGGAAACUGAGCCCCACGGGGUGAAGCCUAUUGCCUGAGAUCUUGCAGUUGGUAACGGGUGCAGGCUGGACUCAGGCCCCCACACAUGCCCAGGCCCUUGAGUAUUUGUAAGGGAAGCAGCUGUUUGGUUUUCUUGGCACAGAGCAUCUGCCUAGCUGGUGAGGGCAUGGGGAAAGAGGUGCCCAAUCUAGUUGGGGAUGGGAGGGUAAAAUGGUACUACCUCUUUGGAGAGCUUUCUGGCAAUAUGGACCCAAAUGCAAAUUACAUGUGCCCUCUAACCUGGGCCCGAAGUCAUCUGCACAAGGCUACCAACUGCAAUGUCCUUUGCAGCAGCAAAACACGGGAUCCCCUAGCUGUCCAUCCAAGGGGGAUGAGGGAGAUACAUCUGGGAGGUUCUAUUGGCUGAGUACUCAGAGAAUGGAAGCACCACAUGGAUUAAUUGGAGCAGUCUUCAAGUUGGUGAAAAAAAGUGCAGUGUAGAAAGUGUGUACAGGGCCGGGUGCAGUGGCUCACACUGUAAUGCCAGCACUUUGGGAGGCUAAGGCAGGAGGAUUGCUUGAGCAUAGGAGUUUGAGACCAGCCUGGGUAACAUGGGGAGAUCCUACCUCUACAAGAAAAAAAAUGAACUAGGCAGGUGAGGUGGUGUUUGCCUGCGGUCCCAGCUACUUGGGAAGCUGAGGUAGGAGGAUUGCUUGAGCCCAUGAAGUCAGGCUGCAGUGAGCUGUGACUGCACCACUGCACAGUCUGGGCGACAGAGCAAGACCCUCUCUCAAAAAAAAAAAAAAAAAAAAAAAAAAAGUGAGCCAGGCACGGUGGCUCAUGCCUAUAAUCCCAGCACUUUGGGAGGCCAAGGUGGGAUGAUCACUUGAGGCCAGGAUGGCCAACAUGGUGGAACUCCAUCUGUAUAAAAAUACAAAAAUUAACUGGGCAUGGUGAUACACACCUGUAAUCCCAGCUACUCAGGAGGCUGAGGCACAAGAAUCGCUGGAACUCAGGAGGUGGAGGCUGCAGUAAGCUGAGAUCGCGCCACUGGACUCCAGCCUGGGCAACAGAGUGAGACUUUGUCUCAAAAAAAAAAGUGUGUACAAAACAUUUGUAUAAAAAGGAAAUUGCAUUUGAAUUUUUCUACCAUGAGCAUGUGAUAACUCCUAAAAGAUUUAAAAACUUCUAUGAAUGGCUAGGCAAGGUGACUGAAAAAAUAACCUGGUUUCAGGCUCAAAUCUGGCACUGCCACUUUCCAGCU
rnacentral:lncRNA from 10 species